rnacentral:rRNA from 1 species
UACGGAGGGUGCAAGCGUUAUCCGGAUUCACUGGGUUUAAAGGGAGCGCAGGCGGGCAUGUAAGUCCGUGGUGAAAUACCUCAGCUUAACUGAGGAACUGCCAUGGAUACUAUAUGUCUUGAAUGUUGUGGAGGUUUGCGGAAUAGGUCAUGUAGCGGUGAAAUGCAUAGAUAUGACCUAGAACACCAAUUGCGAAGGCAGCAGGCUACACAGAUAUUGACGCUGAGGCUCGAAAGCGUGGGGAUCAAACAGG